GCUGGGCGCGGUGGCUCACGCCUGUAAUCCCAGCACUUUGGGAGGCUGAGGUGGGCGGAUCACCUGAGGUCAGGAGUUCGAGACCAGCCUGGCCAACAUGGUGAAACCCCGUCUCUA
rnacentral:sRNA from 1 species